rnacentral:rRNA from 1 species
AUUGAACGCUGGCGGCAGGCCUAACACAUGCAAGUCGAAUGGUAACAGGAAACAGCUUGCUGUUUCGCUGACGAGUGGCGGACGGGUGAGUAAUGUCUGGGAAACUGCCUGAUGGAGGGGGAUAACUACUGGAAACGGUAGCUAAUACCGCAUAACGUCGCAAGCCCAAAGAGGGGGACCUUCGGGCCUCUUGCCAUCAGAUGCGCCCAGAUGGGAUUAGCUAGUAGGUGGGGUAACGGCUCACCUAGGCGACGAUCGCUAUCUGGUCUGAGAGGAUGACCAGCCACACGGGAACUGAGACACGGUCCAGACUCCUGAGGGAGGCAGCAGUGGGGAAUAUUGCACAGUGGGCGCAAGCCUGAUGCAGCCAUGCCGAGUGUAUGAAGAAGGCCUUCGGGUUGUAAAGUACUUUCAGCGGGGAGGAAGGGAGUAAAGUUAAUACCUUUGCUCAUUGACGGUACCCGCAGAAGAAGCACCGGCUAACUCCGCG